UACGGGGGGGGCAAGCGUUGUUCGGAAUUACUGGGCGUAAAGGGCUCGUAGGUGGCCAACUAAGUCAGACGUGAAAUCCCUCGGCUUAACCGGGGAACUGCGUCUGAUACUGGAUGGCUAGAGAUUGGGAGAGGGAUGCGGAAUUCCAGGUGUAGCGGUGAAAUGCGUAGAUAUCUGGAGGAACACCGGUGGCGAAGGCGGCAUCCUGGACCAACACUGACGCUGAGGAGCGAAAGCGUGGGGAGCGAACAGG
rnacentral:rRNA from 1 species